AGCAGUCGCCGCGGGAAUACAGAGGGUGCGAGCGUUAAUCGGAUUUACUGGGCGUAAAGCGUGCGUAGGCGGCUUCUUAAGUCGGAUGUGAAAUCCCUGAGCUUAACUUAGGAAUUGCAUUCGAUACUGGGAAGCUAGAGUAUGGGAGAGGAUGGUAGAAUUCCAGGUGUAGCGGUGAAAUGCGUAGAGAUCUGGAGGAAUACCGAUGGCGAAGGCAGCCAUCUGGCCUAAUACUGACGCUGAGGUACGAAAGCAUGGGGAGCAAACAGGAUUAGAGACCCCUGUAGUCCCUGUCUCUUAUAC
rnacentral:rRNA from 1 species